UACAGAGGGUGCAAGCGUUAAUCGGAAUUACUGGGCGUAAAGCGUGCGUAGACGGUUGCGUAAGUCAGAUGUGAAAGCCCCGGGCUCAACCUGGGAAUUGCAUUUGAGACUGCGUAGCUAGGGUGCGGAAGAGGGAAGCGGAAUUUCCGGUGUAGCGGUGGAAAUGCGUAGAUAUCGGAAGGAACACCAGUGGCGAAAGCGGCUUCCUGGUCCAGCACCGACGUCAGGCACGAAAGCGUGGGGAGCAAACAGG
rnacentral:rRNA from 1 species